rnacentral:rRNA from 1 species
AUUGAACGCUGGCGGCAUGCCUUUACACAUGCAAGUCGAACGGCAGCACGGGAGCAAUCCUGGUGGCGAGUGGCGAACGGGUGAGUAAUACAUCGGAACGUGCCCAGUAGUGGGGGAUAACCCGGCGAAAGCCGGACUAAUACCGCAUACGACCUACGGGUGAAAGCAGGGGAUCGCAAGACCUUGCGCUAUCGGAGCGGCCGAUGUCAGAUUAGCUUGUUGGCGGGUAAAAGCCCACCAAGGCGACGAUCUGUAGCUGGUCUGAGAGGACGACCAGCCACACUGGGACUGAGACACGGCCCAGACUCCUACGGGAGGCAGCAGUGGGGAAUUUUGGACAAUGGGCGCAAGCCUGAUCCAGCC